UACAGAGACCUCGAGCGUUAUCCGGAUUUAUUGGGCGUAAAGCGUCCGCAGAUGGCACGUUAAGUCUCGCGUCAAAUCUUCAGGCUCAACCUGGGGGCUGCGCGGGAAACUGGCGAGCUAGAGGGUGGGAAAGGUAAGCGGAAUUGCCGGUGUAGUAGUAAAAUGCGUUAAUAUCGGCAAGAACACCGAAGGCGAAAGCAGCUUACUGGAACACUCCUGACAUUCAAGGACGAAAGCGUGGGGAG
rnacentral:rRNA from 1 species